rnacentral:rRNA from 1 species
UACGUAGGGUGCGAGCGUUAAUCGGAAUUACUGGGCGUAAAGCGUGCGCAGGCGGUUAUGCAAGACAGAUGUGAAAUCCCCGGGCUCAACCUGGGAACUGCAUUUGUGACUGCAUGGCUAGAGUACGGUAGAGGGGGAUGGAAUUCCGCGUGUAGCAGUGAAAUGCGUAGAUAUGCGGAGGAACACCGAUGGCGAAGGCAAUCCCCUGGGCCUGCACUGACGCUCAUGCACGAAAGCGUGGGGAGCAAACAGG